rnacentral:rRNA from 1 species
GACGAACGCUGGCGGCGUGCUUAACACAUGCAAGUCGAACGGAAAGGCCCUGCUUUUGUGGGGUGCUCGAGUGGCGAACGGGUGAGUAACACGUGAGUAACCUGCCCUUGACUUUGGGAUAACUUCAGGAAACUGGGGCUAAUACCGGAUAGGAGCUCCUGCUGCAUGGUGGGGGUUGGAAAGUUUCGGCGGUUGGGGAUGGACUCGCGGCUUAUCAGCUUGUUGGUGGGGUAGUGGCUUACCAAGGCUUUGACGGGUAGCCGGCCUGAGAGGGUGACCGGCGACAUUGGGACUGAGAUACGGGCCAGAGGCCUCCGGGAGGCAGCAGUGGGGAAUAUUGCACAAUGGGCGGAAGCCUGAUGCAGCAACGCCGCGUGCGGGAUGACGGCCUUCGGGUUGUAAACCGCUUUCGCCGGUGACGAAGCGUGAGUGACGGUAAUGGGUAAAGAAGCACCGGCUAACUACGUG